GACGAACGCUGGCGGCGUGCUUAACACAUGCAAGUCGAACGGAAAGGCCCUGCUUUUGUGGGGUGCUCGAGUGGCGAACGGGUGAGUAACACGUGAGUAACCUGCCCUUGACUUUGGGAUAACUUCAGGAAACUGGGGCUAAUACCGGAUAGGGGCUCCUGCUGCAUGGUGGGGGUUGGAAAGUUUCGGCGGUUGGGGAUGGACUCGCGGCUUAUCAGCUUGUUGGUGGGGUAGUGGCUUACCAAGGCUUUGACGGGUAGCCGGCCUGAGAGGGUGACCGGCCACAUUGGGACUGAGAUACGGCCCAGACUCCUACGGGAGGCAGCAGUGGGGAAUAUUGCACAAUGGGCGGAAGCCUGAUGCAGCAACGCUGCGUGCGGGAUGACGGCCUUCGGGUUGUAAACCGCUUUCGCCUGUGACGAAGCGUGAGUGACGGUAAUGGGUAAAGAAGCACCGGCUAACUACGUG
rnacentral:rRNA from 1 species